rnacentral:rRNA from 1 species
UUUAACUGGAGAGUUUGAUCCUGGCUCAGAACGAACGUUAGCGGCGCGCCUAACACAUGCAAGUCGUGCGAGAAAGGGCUUCGGCCCCGGUAAAGCGGCGCACGGGUGAGUAACACGUAGGUAACCUACCCUCUGGUGGUGGAUAACCUUCCGAAAGGAGGGCUAAUACAGCAUAAGACCACGGUCUCGCAAGAGAUUGAGGUAAAAGCGGGCCUCUUCAUGAAAGCUCGCACCAGGGGAUGGGCCUGCGGCCCAUCAGCUAGUUGGUAGGGUAAUGGCCUACCAAGGCAAAGACGGGUAGCUGGUCUGAGAGGAUGAUCAGCCACACUGGAACUGAGACACGGUCCAGACUCCUACGGGAGGCAGCAGUGGGGA